AUGGACCGGUUCCACGACAGGCAGCACGUGUGGCUGCGGAGCCGCGUGCACGGCACGUACCUCAACGCCAACAGCGACGGGAAGACCGUCUCCCUCCGCGGCCGCCGCGCCUCGCUGAAGGCCGCGUGGACAGUGCACAUCUACCACGGAGAGGGAGACGCCGUGUACCUGCUCCUCCACAGCGCCGCCUACGGCCGCUACCUCGCCGCCACGGCCACGCCGGCGCCGCUCGGCCACAACGGCUUCCGCGCCGAGCAGCCCGACUACGAUGAGCCGGAGAUGCAGGCCAUCAUGUGGCAGGCCGUCGGGGCGGGCUUCGGUGACGACGUCAUGCUCCGCAACGUCGGCGGCCGCUACCUCCGCGCCAACGGCAGGUACCUCGGCUGGAACACCGGCGUCAGCGUCGAGGACACGGACCACGUCAGCACCAUGAUGUACUGGAUCGUCGAGACCAUCCCCGCCAGAGAGGCGGGCAUGCCUGACCUUCCUGGCCCGCCCAACCGCGUGCUCUACAUCAUGCUCGGCCAGGCGUGGCGGCUGAUCGUGUUCGUGCGAGCGACCGCCGAGGGGUUCUACGGCGAGGACGGCUGGUUCUUGUUCCCUUUCAGGGGGAGGUCCGUGAACUACCUGAGGGACGAGCUGGCCGACGGCGUCGCUUUCAUCGACGGCCAGCCCCCCGCCGGCAUCGCCAUGUGCGUCCGAGCGGGCCGCUACGGGAGGCUGACUCCACUCGUCGUCGACCUGACCCGCUACGCUGGCCACGCCGAGACCCUCCAGAUUGUCGUGAUGCUGUCCGGGACCCCUGCGUACGAUGAUCUGCGAUAUCCAGAUGUGGACGCAGUGUAG
rnacentral:rRNA from 1 species